GCAAACUUGGUCAUUUAGAGGAAGUAAAAGUCGUAACAAGGUUUCCGUAGGUGAACCUGCGGAAGGAUCAUUAAAGAUUCUGGGCCCUUACCUGCCCAUUCUAUUCAGCUGUGCGCUUCGGCUGCACGCUGGAUGCAACACCUCACACCUGUGCACCAUUUCGGUUGCGGCUUUGGCCGCUGCCGCUUCAAAUGCAACCACUCAGUCUCGAAUGUCAACAAAACUAUAAAAAGUAACAACUUUCAACAACGGAUCUCUUGGCUCUCGCAUCGAUGAAGAACGCAGC
rnacentral:misc_RNA from 1 species